UACAGAGGGUGCAAACGUUGCUCGGAAUCAUUGGGCGUAAAGCGCACGUAGGCGGUCUGUUAAGUCUGAUGUGAAAGCCCUGGGCUCAACCUGGGAAUGGCAUUGGAAACUGGCGACCUAGAGUGCGGUAGAGGGUAGUGGAAUUCCCGGUGUAGCAGUGAAAUGCGUAGAGAUCGGGAGGAACAUCCGUGGCGAAGGCGACUACCUGGACCAGCACUGACACUGAGGCACGAAAGCGUGGGGAGCAAACAGG
rnacentral:rRNA from 1 species